rnacentral:rRNA from 1 species
UACAGAGGUCUCAAGCGUUGUUCGGAUUCAUUGGGCGUAAAGGGUGCGUAGGCGGCGCGGUAAGCCAGAUGUGAAAUCCCCGGGCUUAACCUGGGAAUGGCAUUUGGGACUGCAAGGCUUGAGUGCGGCAGAGGAGACUGGAAUUCCUGGUGUAGCAGUGAAAUGCGUAGAUAUCAGGAGGAACACCGAUGGCGAAGGCAGGUCUCUGGGCUGACACUGACGCUCAUGCACGAAAGCGUGGGGAGCAAACAGG